UACGGAGGGGGCUAGCGUUGCUCGGAAUCACUGGGCGUAAAGGGUGCGUAGGCGGGUCCUUAAGUCAGGGGUGAAAUCCUGGAGCUCAACUCCAGAACUGCCUUUGAUACUGGGGAUCUCGAGUCCGGAAGAGGUGAGUGGAACUCCGAGUGUAGAGGUGAAAUUCGUAGAUAUUCGGAAGAACACCAGUGGCGAAGGCGGCUCACUGGUCCGGUACUGACGCUGAGGUGCGAAAGCGUGGGGAGCGAACGGG
rnacentral:rRNA from 1 species